rnacentral:rRNA from 1 species
AGUGAACGCUGGCGGUAGGCCUAACACAUGCAAGUCGAACGGCAGCACAGUAAGAGCUUGCUCUUACGGGUGGCGAGUGGCGGACGGGUGAGGAAUACAUCGGAAUCUACUUUUUCGUGGGGGAUAACGUAGGGAAACUUACGCUAAUACCGCAUACGACCUACGGGUGAAAGCAGGGGAUCUUCGGACCUUGCGCGAUUGAAUGAGCCGAUGUCGGAUUAGCUAGUUGGCGGGGUAAAGGCCCACCAAGGCGACGAUCCGUAGCUGGUCUGAGAGGAUGAUCAGGCACACUGGAACUGAGCCACGGUCCAGACUCCUACGGGAGGCAGCAGUGGGGACUAUUGGACAAUGGGCGCAAGCCUGAUCCAGCCAUACCGCGUGGGUGAAGAAGGCCUUCGGGUUGUAAAGCCCUUUUGUUGGGAAAGAAAAGCAGCAGGUUAAUACCCCGCUGUUCUGACGGUACCCAAAGAAUAAGCACCGGCUAACUUCGUG